AGCUUUGUGCAGUGGCAGUAUCAUAGCCAAUGAGGUUUAUCCAAGGUGUGAUUAUGGGUAAUUUAAAACAUUUCCCUGAUGAUUAGUAAUAUUGAACAUGCUUUUGUGCG
rnacentral:snRNA from 1 species